rnacentral:lncRNA from 1 species
UGUGCCUGUGUAGUAUUGGAGAUUUUCACUCCAAGAACGGCGUUGGUUUAAAGAUUCUUCAUGGAAGAGAAAUUCAGGGGAUGUUGGAAGAUUGUAGAGGUUUUGAGCUGGAACAUUGUAGAGGUCUUGAUAUGGGUGGUAUUUUCUGUACUUGUGAUCAUUUGGGUCAUUCAUUUUGCGAUCAAAAUUUUGAUCUUUUCGGAAAAAAGAUGGGAUUUUUAUG